UACAGGGGGUGCAAACGUUGCUCGGAAUCAUUGGGCGUAAAGCGCACGUAGGCGGUUCGUUAUGUCGGAUGUGAAAGCCCUUGGCUUAACCGAGGAAGUGCAUCCGAAACUGGCGAGCUUGAGUACUGAAGAGGGUCGCGGAGUUCCCGGUGUUGAGGUGAAAUUCGUAGAUAUCGGGAGGAACACCAGUGGCGAAGGCGGCGACCUGGGCAGAUACUGACACUGAGGUGCGAAAGCGUGGGGAGCAAACAGG
rnacentral:rRNA from 1 species